UCCCUGGUGGUCUAGUGGUUAGGACUCUGCAUUUCCACUGCAGGGAACACAGGUUCAAUCCCUAGUUAGGAGAA
rfam:TPA: Bos taurus chromosome 7, whole genome shotgun sequence.